rnacentral:rRNA from 1 species
CUAUUUUCCUUUUUUAUCGUUCUCCCUCUUUUUUUUUCCAGUCAACGUUUUUAAUAAAGCGCUCUAGUCCCGCCGAGGCGGGGGAACGGCGUCUAAGCGCCGCUCUCCCCUUCCGCCUCCAAAGGCUCGGCCGCCUCGGGUAAGAGGCUAUCUGCCUUCCGUGUUAGAACGCCGACAGGAGGCCGUUUAAGAAUGGCCCAAUAUAGACUCCUAACUUCCAGCGCGCUCCGACCCGUAAAGGUGGCGCAAAGAACACGUCUAAAGCAGCUAAAGAACCGCGACGACGGCUCUUAGGCCACAACUUGUCCAACGCCACCUGCUUUCCGUUUCUCCGCUACCUGAUGAUGUUGUAGGAGUUCCACUUGGCCUUACGGAGUAACCUCCUGGAGUUCUUCAGCAUGGCCGCCGAGCGAUCCUGCACCGUGGGGCUGUUCUUGGGCUGACCACCGCGGCUCCGACUCCGGUCCAAGUUCGUCUAUUGACUCCGGAUGCUCCAUGAUUCACUAGGUCUUUUCGCACGUUAAAUACUGGUUAUGCCACUUCUUCCAAAUUUCCCAUACGGAGGUGGACCAAGCGUUUCGGCCUGGCGGUGUCGAAGACCGAGUUCACCAGGUUCAUUAAAGGCAAUGUUAGGAUCACUAGGUCUACUAUAGAAAUUACUCAAGUACCGCUCGUUGUUCGGUAUGUGGAAACCAGUUCUGGCUUCCGCGAAAGUUGGUCGUGUGGCCUGGAGACGUCACUUACCAGCUUCACUUCGAAGAAGGUCAAGUGUCUUCCUCGGACCAUGGUCAUGUUCGGUAGACCUUUUCGGUGGCGGACACUUCUUCUGUAAUGAAACGUGAGAACUUCUCGACAUAUUACCUUGUUUUUCCUUCUACUUCUAGUGAUCCUUACAGCGUUUUAGUCUACCUUUCCAUCUUGAACUCUGUCUCUAGAACGUCCAACUCCACAACGGUCCGACCUUUUUCCCUUGUUUCUACUGUAAAGGGUUGUUUCCGCUGUGCGAUGGACCGAUAAAUGGCGUCCUGGACUGGAAGCAGUAGCUGUACUUCGGGGUACUGUGGAUGUGAGACCUUCCCUUGUUGGAGGACCAUUCGGUUCUCUAGGGGGACCACCUGCGAGAACGGCCCUGCUGGUAAUUGGAGUCCUGGGAGCUACCCUCCUCGGAAGGACAGUCCCACCUCCUUCACCACGCGGGACCCGUCCUCUAACACUAGCUCUUGCUUCCCACCGGCUAGGCCUUCCUUGGUCCCUUCUUUCCCUCGAACUCCUAGUCCAAGCUGCACCGGAAGGGCCGCUCCAAUAGGAGCAACGUCGCUCGACGGUAGUCCGCCUAGUACCCCUCGAUUGGUCCCUUUUCUUCCCGCGCCGUCACCUAGCUAAGUAUGUCUUUGUUCUUCUCUUUCUUUUUUUUUGAUCGAUCGGACUCCUGUCAACCCUAACCAAACCCAAUCAAGUACAAGUAGACAACAAGUAUCUAGUCAUCGCCACGUCGUGAUUAAGGCACACAAAUCGGGACAAGAAGCGUUCACUGCAACAAAAAAACCGCUGAAAACAACCGGUAAUCGUCAACCUACGAAAAUCAAGACUAGUAUAGUUUGCCUACAAAUAGGGGGAACUGAAAAGUUGCCAAUAUUGGACGACGGAUUACCAGUGACAAGUUGC